rnacentral:rRNA from 1 species
AAGAAAAACGGGGUGUGAACAGCACUUCGUCUUGACGUUACCCACAGAAGAAGCACCGGCUAACUCCGUGCCAGCAGCCGCGGUAAUACGGAGGGUGCGAGCGUUAAUCGGAAUUACUGGGCGUAAAGGGCGCGUAGGCGGUUGGGUAAGUCGGGUGUGAAAGCCCUGGGCUUAACCUGGGAAUGGCAUUCGAGACUACCUAUCUAGAGUCUGGUAGAGGGAAGUGGAAUUUCCGGUGUAGCGGUGAAAUGUGUAGAUAUCGGAAGGAACACCAGUGGCGAAGGCGACUUCCUGGACCAAGACUGACGCUGAGGCGCGAAAGCGUGGGGAUCAAACAGGAUUAGAUACCCUGGUAGUCCACGCCCUAAACGAUGAGAACUGGCCGUUGGGGGAGUUAAAUCCCUGAGUGGCUCAGCUAACGCGAUAAGUUCUCCGCCUGGGGAGUACGGCCGCAAGGUUAAAACUCAAAGGAAUUGACGGGGGCCCGCACAAGCGGUGGAGCAUGUGGUUUAAUUCGAUGCAACGCGAAGAACCUUACCUGGCCUUGACAUCUGCGGAACCUGGGAGAGAUCUCGGGGUGCCUUCGGGAACCGCAAGACAGGUGCUGCAUGGCUGUCGUC